GCAGUCGAGCGAGAAGCUUACCUUCGGGUGAGUGGAAAGCGGCAGACGGGUGAGUAACGCGUGGGAACGUGCCCUUCGGUACGGAACAACAGCUUAGAAAUGACUGCUAAUACCGUAUACGACCUCCGGGUGAAAGAUUUAUCGCCGAAGGAUCGGCCCGCGUUAGAUUAGCUUGUUGGUGAGGUAAAGGCUCACCAAGGCGACGAUCUAUAGCUGUUCUGAGGGGAAGAUCAGCCACACUGGGACUGAGACACGGCCCAGACUCCUACGGGAGGCAGCAGUGGGGAAUAUUGGACAAUGGGCGCAAGCCUGAUCCAGCCAUGCCGCGUGGAUGAAGAAGGCCCUAGGGUUGUAAAAUCCUUUCGCUAGGGAAGAUAAUGACGGUACCUAGUAAAGAAGCCCCGGCUAAUUUCGUGCCAGCAGCCGCGGUAAUACGAAAGGGGCUAGCGUUGUUCGGAAUUACUGGGCGUAAAGCGCACGUAGGCGGCUAUGUAAGUUGGGGGUGAAAUCCCGGGGCUCAACUCCGGAACUGCCUUCAAAACUACAUAGCUAGAGGAUGUGAGAGGAGGGUGGAAUUCCGAGUGUAGAGGUGAAAUUCGUAGAUAUUCGGAAGAACACCAGUGGCGAAGGCGACUCUCUGGCACAUUUCUGACGCUGAGGUGCGAA
rnacentral:rRNA from 1 species